rnacentral:rRNA from 1 species
UACAGAGGGAGCAAGCGUUAUUCGGAAUUAUUGGGCGUAAAGGGCGCGUAGGCGGCUUUGCAAGUGACGGGUGAAAGCCCUCGGCUUAACCGAGGAACUGCCUGUCAGACUGUGAGGCUUGAGACCGGGAGAGGUGAGUGGAAUUCCUGGUGUAGCGGUGGAAUGCGCAGAUAUCAGGAGGAACACCGGUGGCGAAGGCGGGUCUCUGGGCAGUAACUGACGCUGAGGAGCGAAAGCGUGGGGACCGAACAGG